CCUGGCUUACCUCCUCAGUUAUGCGUCAAGGCUUGUAUCGCCUAGAGCGUAUUGUUGGUUUUCUGUAUUGGAUACCUAAUCGAAGGGUAUUAUUUUGAUCGAUCGGAGUCCCUUUUCGUCUUGUUGCAUUUUGUGUCGCAUGAUGAACGUUGAAGCGGUCUCUAUGAUCCAUCACGUUGAUGCACUUGCAUUGAUGUUGUGGCCCAUUGAGCUUUGUUUGGUUUCUUGGAUAUGGAACAUGAAGUGGGCAUGGGGCUGUCAUGAUCCUCUUUUUGCCCUCGUAUGGUGUUCUCGAACGACGGGUCAUGCGCGCCYAGGCUCGUACCU
rnacentral:misc_RNA from 1 species